UACGUAGGUGGCAAGCGUUGUCCGGAGUUAUUGGGCGUAAAGCGCGCGCAGGCGGUGCGGUAAGUCUAUGGUGAAAGCCCCCGGCUCAACUGGGGAGGGUCAUCGGUAACGGUCGUGCUAUGAGUGCAGGAGAGGGAAGUGGAACUCCGGGAGUAGCGGUGAAAUGCGUAGAGACCCGGAGGAACACCAGUGGCGAAGGCGGCUUCCUGUCUGCGACUGACGCUGUGGCGCGAAAGCUAGGGGAGCAAACGGG
rnacentral:rRNA from 1 species